ensembl:lncRNA
AUGUUUAAAACACGGGUCAUACAAGGAAAUUUUGGUGUGGAGGUGUGGAUUUCACUAAUGCUUUACAUUAAAAACACCCAAACUACAAUGUGCACACUCAGCUGGACUAAGAUGAAGGUCUCAGGUGCUCACGUCUGGCUUCUCUUAUUGUUCCUGUUCCAAAGUGACAGAAACCAGGUUUCAGGCCAGUGUUCAGUACCCACAGCACUCUGCUGUCCUGGAGUGAAUAGCCAAUGCAACCGUGGUGGGUGUUUUUGUGAUGAGUUCUGCGUCACAAGCGGGGACUGCUGUGCUGACUACAAUCAGAUAUGCAUUCAGCCACAUUCGCCACCAUCCUUUAUAUCACCUUCAUCAACCACACUAUCAUAUUCACCGUUCUCAUCAACAUCCUUAUCAACCUCAAUAUCACCAACCUCACAACCUUUAUCUUCCUCAACAUCAGCCUCACCACCAUCUUCAUCCUCCCUACCUACAACCAACCAAUCACCAACAUCAUCACCAAUCUCACCACCAACUUCAUCCUCCUCACCUACAACCAACCAAUCACCAACAUCAUCACCAACCUCACAAACAUCUUCAUCAGUCUCACCAACAACCAACCAAUCAUCAUCACCACCACCAACCUCUGCAUCUUCAUCAACAUCCCAGCAGAGAAGUAGAUUAUGCCAGUUAUUGAAAAUGCUAAAGUGAAAAUAUUGUUUUUGCAUAUAUUGUUUGCAUUGAUAUUGAAUAUACAUUUCAGUUCAAUAGAAUAGAAUAGAAUAGAAUAGAAUAGAAUAGAAUAGAAUAGAAUAGACAAAAUAAUGCAGAUGAUAACAUAUAAAGUCAUCUUUAGAAUUUCUUGGAGUAAAUAAAUAGAAUAAUUUCAAUAAUUUUCAGAAAACAUCAGUGCAAUCACAGUCUUCCACAUGCGUGUUCGCUCAGGAGCCAAUGAGGAAGCAAUGCUGAAGGCUGUGCAGGAUGUAAGUGAUUUUUAAAAAUAGUUUUCACUAGAGCAUAACUGUUUGCUUAAAUCUGGGUAAUUUGUCACCAGUGCUGGGUAAAUGUCUUCUGAAUACUAGGCUACUAAAGAUACUAUUUACUAUUUGCAACAGAUUACGUGAAUAAAAAUAUAAUAUGCAACUCAAUCUUUUAGAUUAUGUAAAAGAUAUGUUAAGAUUUAAAUAUAUUUGAAUGUCCUAUGAUCUACAGUAACUAAUACGGUCUUGAUUACUGUGGCCCUUUCAAUCUCUGCUUUGUUGUGUUGAUGCAUCCCCAUACCUUUAAUACUUUUUUCCUCUGUGUUUUUCACUAAUCUAAGUGGGUUGAUAUGUUAACAGAUUUACAGUAAGCAUUCCCGUAGCUCCUGUAACUGUAGAGCAUGUUGAAAUGCAAAAAUGAUUUAUAAAUGUAGAAUACAACAAGCACAGUCUCUCUCCUCAGUACCACAAGGUCAGCAAUUUGAAUUAUAUUUAAAAAAGGUUUUGGUCUGAAAAGAGUUGAUUUCUGUCAUUUGUUUAUUUAAUUAAUUUUAUUGUUUUAUCUCAUAUUUAUUCAAGUAAAUAUCAAUUAACUGUAGCAACUGUUUUAGCUGUUAUUUUGCAUCUUUGUACAUUUUGGUAAGUGAAAGCGUAUUUUUAGGGAUAAUUAUAUUUUGCACACUUAUAUUAGAUAACACUACGAGUAUUAUCUCUGUUUCUUUUCUGGCUUUAGUUCAUUCUCCACCUCCAGGGCUUGAUGAGGAGACAGCAGUGUGAAGACUGCAGUCUACGAGUGCUAAACAUCAGCAAGAAACAUCGCUGAUUACAUCAAGUCAAAUAUAUUAGAAUUAUUGAGAAUCCACAGUUUUUCACUAAUUAAUCAUUAUUACCUGGUCUUCUUCCACGUGUUUGUUUAAUACUCCUGGUGUGGAAAUGGUGUCACUAGAUGGCACUAGAGGACCGAACCUGUAAUGGAAAUCAUAGAGGAUUGUCCAAUCACUGUCUAACCUUAAUUUUAAUUUUAAUAUAGAGCUGCUAUAAAUGUCGAUCAAUUUAGUAUAUUCUUAUUUAAAUUAGAUUUAUAUUAGCAAUAUAUAUUAGAAUGUAACGAAAAAAGGAAUCUUAGGAUGGUUGUAUCAUAAAUGUUGUUUCAAAAGAUAGGAAAGAUAGCAUAAUAAUACAAUAACUGCCUGUUUCUCAAAUAUUCUUAUUAGGAAUCUUUAUUUCCAUAGCGUAAAUGAAUUAUUCCACAACCAACUGAUUUCCCACAACAAAAAUGAGAGUUUUAAGAAUAGGCUACUUUUAUUGUCAUAGGCCUUUUUGAAUUCAAAGCUAAGUGUUGUAGUUGGUUGUUGUACAAUGUAUAAUAGUAGCAGCAUAUAUCAAUAUAUAUAAAUAUAUUGGACUUAAAUUUAAUUAUCAUUUGUUUAAUAAAACUUUGUGAAUGCCCUCUUAUUUUUUUUUUUUUUUUUCAUAUAUGAUGUUAAUAAUUAUGAUUCAAAUUAUUUUUAUGGCAGUGUUCAAUGGAACAAAACCAUUUUCUGGGACAUUAAAAAUGCUUCAGACAAACAGGAAGUACUGUUAAAUGUUAAAUACCUCACUGUAAACACAUGAACCAGGAUGACAAGAUAAAAUGUAAAAAGAUACACUGAUGUAGUAACAGGAAUUUAAAUAUACUUUUGCCAAUGGGGGUCUGUUUCACAAAUGAUCUGGUUAUAAAAAAAAUCAUCCAAACCUCCAUGUUUACACACUCAGCUGGAUUAAGAUGAAGAUGUUAGGCACUCAUGCCUGGCUUCUCUUAUUGUUCCUAGUCCAAACUGACAGGAACCAGGUUUCAGGUAAGACAGGUACUGAGCUUCACGUAAUGUUCUGUGAGAAACUACAGCAAAUAUUCUUAUUUUGUUCAUUAUUUUGUGUCAUUUUUGUGACAGUGUGAAUUAGGAUGAUAUAAAAUGCUACAAAAGUUAAUUAAUAUAAAUACAAAUGCUACAAAAGUUGAUUAAUUUCAAACAUUUAUACAGUAGUUAAAAAUGAAAUUUGUCAAGUGUAGAAAGGACAAUAUAUAUAUAUAUAUAUAUAUAUAUAUAUAUAUAUAUAUAUAUAUAUAUAUAUAUAUAUAUAUAUAUAUAUAUAUAUACUUUUUGCCAAAG